UUUGCCGUGAGGCAUGCAGUGAAGCCCGCCUCCCGGAGGGCAGGUAAGCCAGACUGCGGUGUCUGUACUGAAGAACAUGAACCACAUACGGAGGCUAUGAGGUCGGAUGAGGUAACACAUGCUGCCGAAGUCCCAACUUUCCGAAAGGGAGGAAGUACCAAAAUAGUAGAUGUGGCAGCGAUAGGCACAAGGAUAUUCAC
rnacentral:ncRNA from 1 species